UUUGUUUUGUUCUUAAUACAGUUUUAUUCUGCUACUAAUAUCGCUGCUGGUAUCAACUCCAGGUUCCAUGCCUCGAAAGUCGAAAUUGUUGAUUGUCCGUCGGCGAGCACCGCCGUUGUGCGCUCCUCUCUGUGACUUUACAUUCUCAUCGGAGCUUAUUCCAUUUUGAGAUUUCUUAAGUGUUUUAGUCAGAAAAGGAGAAGCUGAAUUAUAUGGGAAUUUCAAGGAACGCCCAAUUGAGUUCUGACCCAGGGCCGAGUAGAGAAUCGGUGCCUCCUCCUUCUCCUCCAGCGGUAUUUGAUCCCGGAGUUUCCCUUUGGCAGCUCUGCCGGAGAUCAUGAGAGCCGCCGAGAAGGACGACCAGUACGCCUCCUUCGUUUACGAUGCCUGCCGCGAUGCCUAAUUGGUCCCUCUUCACCUUUUACCUCCUCCAUUUCAACUAAUUAUUUUGUAUUUUUGUGAAAAUUUAAUCCGUCCCUUUCCUGAUUUUGUUAUAGUUACAAGAAUCGCUGUGCCUUAUUAGAGUGAGGUUGAACAGAUUUUGAUAAUUUAUCGUUGAAAAGACCUCUUUUUCGUGGAACGAUGAUGAACUCAGAUUUAUGGCUCUGUUUUCAUUCGUUUUAGCAGACAGCUUCUCGGGCAGAUGCUUUAUUACUUAUUAACAACAGGUUCUGGGCAGCAAACGCUUGGGGAAAGAUUACUGUGACGUUACUCAGGUUGCAGGGCCACAUGGACUUCCUCCAACACCUGCAAGCCAUACUUUUUUCAUUUUACGCCAGACGGCAGUUCCUUAUAUUGCAGAAAGAACAAGCUCAAGAGUUGCAUCCCGUGGCAUCACUCUUACUAAUUCAAUUUCGGAUGAGCCUGACAGCAACUUUGCUUCAGGGAGCCGUCAGAUCCAAUCUUCUAUAAUGAUUGACCUCUCAUCUUUCUCCACAACGGGGGCAUCAGUUUCUUUACUGUCAAGGAUUAGGCAGAACUAUAGUGGACAAUGGUUGCAUGCAGCUCAAUGAUGGCAUGCGGCGCUUCCCAUAGCUCGUGAAUAAAAUUGAUUCUACGAACCAACCUCAUGUUUUUCCUUCUUUGAAGGCCUAUUAUUAUCAUUUAUUGAAAUUUGUUUCUGGCAUUCGUUAUGUUUUCAAUGGAAAGCCAUCAAAUGGAAGGCCCAGGUGAAGCUCUCAUAAUUGGUUAUAAAUUAAAAUAAACUUAUUUAUUUUGAGGGUGUGUGUUUUUCUGCUGUCUCUUGCAGCUGGGUGCCACUUUUUGGUGUAGUCUCCUUUUUACCAUUUAAUGCUAAAUAUAUGAACCCUUUGAAUUUUCUUUUACCAUCAGACCUCGUUCAAAUAUCAAAGUUCAGGUUACUACUCUUAAACAUUUGCAAAAUUUCAUUAUUAUUUUUCUUUACAGAUUAGACAUAUGACCUGAUAUUGUGGUUUAUGAUGGCACUUGUGCCUACUUUAUGUUGUGCAUUCUGCACGGCAUUUGUGCUAUAACCAUUGUGCGUAUAAUCAAAUGAAAUGGGGUUUUGAGAGGAAGACUUGAACAAAGUCUGAGGAUAUUAUGCCUCUCCUGCAGAAAUGUUCCAUUAAUUUGGUAGCUGAAAUUGCUUGCCUUAAAGAAAACAUCUAAGUUAACCCUACCUGCAAUUAGCAGUGUACAUGGCUAAACAGGAUAGACAGGAUAACUGCAUAGUACAACCGUGGCCUAUGGCAAUGCUGGAGGAGUAGCAGAAGUUGGAUUCUCAACUUCUCGUUUUUGUGCGUUGGUUCUUUUUAUGAAGUGUCAAUGUUAGGUGAAAUAAAACCCAAGAUAUGAUGGAGCCUUUGUCAAAGAUACAUUCACCAUACAUUAUACAAAAAGGCAAGGUUUGCCUGUCUUAAAUGAAGGUAAUUUGAUACCUAUGGAAGCUAGUAGGGGAGGUUGGGUUUCAGAUUCCACAUCAACUUCAGAGAAGUGCCUGGUUCUCAGGUUGUGGGUACUAGCAACCAAAAUAUGUGAAGAGAAAAUUUUGGUAAAAGGAAAGUACAAAGAUAAUGUCAGUAUAAUGUUGAGGACCAAAGAUAUUUUUUUCAUUAACCUCUUGCAAGAAUAUGGAUGGAUGUAAUUGAUAAGAAAGCUUAACCAACAUGGAGUUUGCAUUAAUUUAUCCAAUUCAGAUACAACUUAAAAAGACCAAAA